UUGGGCGACCACGUUUGCAGAGAAGAGGGAGUCGCCUCGAGCCCCAUCCCUUCUCCUCUCUCCCACGCAACCUCCCCGGGUGGGCGCCUGGCUAGGGUUGCCGCCGCCGCCCCAUAGGCCCAUCCCAGCUCAUCCUACGCCGGUCACCGGAGAAGGCGCCUUCCUCUUCUCCCCAAACCUUCUCUUCUCCGCGUUCCAUCCGUCCUCAUCAUGGCUGUAGAGGGGGCCGGAAAGGGGGUGUCAUCGAUGUGCUGUUCAAGCGGCGAGUUGCAGCGGAGGGGCGCGGGCAAGAGGAUGCUAUCGAGGGUUCUUGCGGAUAGUGUUGAUCGUUCUGGGUUGUUGGAGUGGGCCAAAUACCUGACGACGGGUAAGAUAGAGGUGCUGUACAAGCAGUGGAUGCUCGGCUGCGACCAUAAGACCUUUUCGUAUUGUAUUAUCAGCUGUGUGACGAGAGGUCAGAGUGACGAAUCUGAAGUUGCUAUUCCCUUGCUGUACCAUUCUCCACAACAAAAAGUCAAAGUGGGCAUGUUUCUUCUGUCUUUAAACUUGUGCACUAUGAGCUGGUGUUGCAAUGCUUGAAGAAGUUGCCUGGCGUUGUUGUGCAAGAUAUACCUUAUAGAACAAGCCGUGCUGUUCAAAAUGCUGGCACAAACUGCGCUUCUGAUAAAGAAGUUGACGAGCUUCUCAUAAAGCUGCCCGGUCGAUUACGAGAUGCACUUCUAUACCAUUCCAACUUGAAGGUGUGAAAUUUGAGCUUCAGAGGCAAGGGCGCUGCCUUAUUACAUAUGAGAUGGGGCUUGGCAAGACUCUCCAAAAUGCGGAAGCAGUAUGUUCUCAUUUAUUUAAAUGCAGGCAAUUGCAAUAGCUUGUUGCUUCAAGGACGAGGGCCCUCUAUUAAUAGUGUGUCCAGCUGUUCUGCGUUAUACUUGGGCAGAGGAAUUGGAACGCUGGGAUCCUUCAUUUCUUCCAAAAGAUAUUCAUCUUGGUGUUGUAAUUUUAUCAACACACAGUAAGGAUUUAUGGUGGAAGGAGCGAGGCGUCAUAGCUGGCGAUUGCCAAAGAUGUCACCUAGUUCUCUUAGGUGAUUUUCCUCUGUUUAUGAUGUGAAUGAUGUAGCUGAUCAGCGACACGCCACACCACGCCAUUGGUGCACCUCAACAAGACCGGUGACUAACUGGUCUUUGACUCUGUUUCUGAGAUAAGGUAGCUGGACUACUUUGACACAUAGUUGAGAUAAUUACAUUUCAACGACUGAAACUAUUUUUGCAUUCAACUUAUGUUUUAUUAACCUCUAUACACCAAUCUAAAAGAGUGCACAAAUCUUCCCGUUCAACCUGUAAAAAAUUGACCUUUAUGUUUUGAAGUUCGAAGCACAUUUAUAGAUUGGGAUGAUCUUACUGUUUGUUCAAAGUGAAUUUACUCUUUCAAACAUAUCCUAUGAUUUGUUGAUAAUGUGUAUUGCAGAUUCAUCAUGUAAUAGAAAAGAGCCUUUGUGAUACAAAACAUGAUUUAAUUAUCUUUUACAAGUCCCAUUUGGAUUUUUUUAAUGUCUGUACUUGGUAGUUUUUUGAGUAUGUCUCUCUAAUGGGCACUGAAGUUGUAGGUUUUUGUAUUCUGAUUUGUUUGAGAUAAUUAAACAGUGAUUGUUACUUCACUUGCUGAUAAAUGUAGGGGUAAAGCAACAGUGGGGAAAUUAUGAAUUUCAUGUAGUUGUCGUAGCCGAAUCUUUGUUGUUUAGUAGUUUAUUUCAAGAGUGCAGGUCGUUUUUCUAUAUGCUGGAUGAAUAGCUUCUUUAUUCAGUAUGUACUGAAUUUUACUUGCUAUUUUAUUAAUCCUAUUAAACCAAGAUGCCUUUUCUGCAGUGUCACACAUUGAUACUUCUAUUUGAAGGACCCAGGAGAAAAUUCAGCAUUUGUACUACUCUGUUUCCAUAGUAGUUAUGCUCUUUCUCUGAAAUCAGAACAAUCAAAUACAAUAAUAGUGUUGAUUCUUCUCAUUUCGUUAGCAAUUUGUUCUAACUAUAACACUAACAUGAAUUGUGUUUAUGAAAUUGUCCCUAUUGUAGAACAAGUUGGCAUGGAGCAGUCUGUUCUAAAAAUAAUGUACCCAUAUGUUACUGCCAAUCAGGUGUUUCCUUUCUUUCUUUUGCUGAAGCUCUAUACAAAUUUUCUCUGUGUGUAAGUGGUCCAUAUGGAUUUUUAAUAUAUCAUGCUAUGUACAAGUGAUAGUUCUCUAUUUCCUGAUUAGGUAUGAUGGAUAGUGUCAGAUUACUGAGCAUCAUUUACGCAUCCCUGAAGUUAUAUUACGCUGUUGUUGUGGAUGCUGAUGCAUGUAAUUAUAGGAGGAAAAUAAUCAUUUUUUCCGAAGGUAUUGGUUUCUGUGGGAUGGAUCUACAUGUUGCCCUCUUGGGUUAUCAUCCUUGUUUUGCCCACAAUGACUAAGCUUUAGUUACUCUGUUUUGAUUCCCUAACUCAAGCAUUAUAUGUAGUCGGACUAACCCAGCAGUACUACUAACACUUGGUGACAUAGGCCUUUGUCACUUUGUUAGUGAGGUUUGAAGAAAUGAAUCAUCCUUUUUUUGGCCUCAUCUGAUCUUCUAAUUAAUUAUAUGACAUAUAUCGUACAAUCCAUAUAUGGUUGACGAGAUGUAUCCAUAUCGAAUGAUCCAAACCCAAUGGAACCUUUCCAGUCCCAAUCCUACAUAGUAUCUAAUUUGCGUUGAUACAUAUGUUUUAGCUAGACACGUAUGGUUUUGAAAUCACAAUGUUUCAUGUAUUGACCCUACCAACAUCAUACAAUAGUACAAUUCCACGAUGCUGGUCUUGCCAACAGAAAAAUGAACCACCAAAAGUUCCCAUCCCAUAGUCCUUCUGAUCAUGUUGGAUUUGUUUAUUCACUGCUAUAGUUACGUCUAUAUCUGCCUCCUUGUCAUAUCUUCGAUAUAUUUCACACAUUUUUUUUAGCGUGGCUAUUUUGGUACUUAUAUGAUCUUUCUCAUCUUAGCAACCAUGGAAACUGGUCUUGCAGCUAACGAAGAAUCCAUUUAUUUAUUGAUGUCUAUAAUCACAAUGUUCUACUUUGUUUGUGCAGUUUCAUCCAUGACUUUUUCUCAAUCAAAUCCACAUGAAUUUGUCCUAAGUAUCUGUCGUUGGACUGAAGGGUACUAUAUUAUGGAAUCAUGAGGGUUAUAUUAGCCCAGAAGAUCUUAAGGAAAGCAUUGACAAAGCUUGGACUACCCUUCAUCUGCAGCUAUAAACUGCAACUUAGAUCAUUUGUUAAAGUUUACUGCAAGCCUGUUUUGUAUAAAGUUGCAUCCCUGUUGUCUUGAAAAUUGACGAUGUAAUUUCUUGUUUUCUUAGAACUGAUCCUGUAAAUUAUUUCCUAUAUUUUAAUGAAGUUUGGCGUUAAUCUA